AACGAACGCUGGCGGCAGGCUUAACACAUGCAAGUCGAACGCCCCGCAAGGGGAGUGGCAGACGGGUGAGUAACGUGUGGGAACAUACCCUUUCCUGCGGAAUAGCUCCGGGAAACUGGAAUUAAUACCGCAUACGCCCUACGGGGGAAAGAUUUAUCGGGGAAGGAUUGGCCCGCGUUGGAUUAGCUAGUUGGUGGGGUAAAGGCCUACCAAGGCGACGAUCCAUAGCUGGUCUGAGAGGAUGAUCAGCCACAUUGGGACUGAGACACGGCCCAAACUCCUAAGGGAGGCAGCAGUGGGGAAUAUUGGACAAUGGGCGCAAGCCUGAUCCAGCCAUGCCGCGUGAGUGAUGAAGGCCUUAGGGUUGUAAAGCUCUUUCACCGAUGAAGAUAAUGACGGUAGUCGGAGAAGAAGCCCCGGCUAACUUCGUGCCAGCCGCCGCGGUAACAC
rnacentral:rRNA from 1 species